AUUAGAUACCUGGUAGUCCACGCUGUAACGAUGAUACUAGGUGUGGGGGCUGAGCCUUCGGUGCCGCAGCAAACGCAAUAAGUAUCCCACUGGGGAGUACGUUCGCAAGAAUGAACUCAAAGGNUUGACGGGGACCCGCACAAGCGGUGGAGCAUGUGGUUUAAUUCGAAGCAACGCGAAGAACCUUACCAAGCCUUGACAUCCCCUNGACAGGGUAUGUAAUGUACCCUUCCUUCGGGACAGGGGAGACAGGUGGUGCAUGGUUGUCGUCAGCUCGUGUCGUGAGAUGUUGGGUUAAGUCCCGCAACGAGCGCAACCCNUACGGCCAGUAGCCAGCAGGUAAAGCUGGGCACUCUGGCGGGACUGCCGGGGAGAACCCGGAGGAAGGCGGGGAUGACGUCAAAUCAUCAUGCCCCUUAUGGCUUGGGCUACACACGUGCUACAAUGGCGUAAACAAAGGGAGGCGAAGCUGUGAAGCGGAGCAAAUCCCAAAAAUAACGUCUCAGUUCGGAUUGUAGUCUGCAACUCGACUACAUGAAGCUGGAAUCGCUAGUAAUCGCAAAUCAGCAUGUUGCGGUGAAUACGUUCCCGGGUCUUGUACACACCGCCCGUCACACCAUGGGAGUUGGAAACGCCCGAAGUCAGUGACCCAACCUGAGAGGGAGGGAGCUGCCGAAGGCAGGGCCGAUAACUGGGGUGAAGUCGUAACAAGG
rnacentral:rRNA from 1 species